CCCUUGACCUAGCCUUUCUCCCCGCCCUCCCACUAACUUCCGUGGCUCCUGCCCAAGUACUCCUAAAUGCUUACGGGAGAUCCUUGGAACCCUGAGUCCUAUUUUUCAGGGAGCAGCAUCCUUAAAGGAAAACCUAGAUCUGUUUUUGUUCAUUUCAUUGGGUUGACUAUAUUCAUUUGCAAGGCAGAUAUAGCUAACACACAUGUGUGUGUGUUUAUACACACACACACACACACACACACACCCCAGAUUGUGGUAGCUUUUGGAAACUGUCUGAGGCACAGAAAAUAACUUGCCUGACAAGACAUCAAAGACUUGCAAAGAGACCACAGCAGCAAAGGCCUUCAGACUGCCUAGCAAUUUCCACGUGAUUGAUGAUAAGCAUCUAUUUGCUCCAGUAAGUCGAAGUAGAACUGUAACCUUUUAUUUGUUCCGGGAAACAGUAACCGAAGUCACAAAAUCAUAAAUAAUAAAAGAUAGAAAAGUCCUCUUUUAACCUAAUGGACUAAAAGAUCUCUUGCUUUUCAUUUCUGCUAAUGGCCUCCCCAACUUGGCACUCUCCGAGCUGGCCAAGGACAGGCAGACCGAGCCUCAGUUAGCAAGCAGGACUUGGUCCAAAAGAUCGUUUGUAAGGUGCUUGUUUGGAACGCAGAAUGCAUUUUCCCUAAAAAUCUGUCUUUCCCAGGGUGACUGGGCACUCAAGUGCCUCUUGUACGGGACUCCCCAACCUGUAGAGUACCUGGGCGCUGGGUCUUUGAAGGCAAGCUGUCUGCAGUGCCAGAGGGAGGAAACAAGUCAGCUCUCGCUCCUGUAGCCCCAGCCCAGCACAAUUUAAAUGUAAGCGCAUUUUCUUUUUUAUCCUCUCACCCCCCUUGUGGCAUCCAGGUCCCGGGGCCCAAAUCUCACGGCUCACGAUCUGCCUUAUGUGCUCUAGGCUGCUCGAGCGAGGGAGCCCGUGACCCUAAAUUACCUACUUGUUUCCACUUCCUGAUCGGUCAGACUUCCAUUUCCUCAGAGCAGCUGAUAACGGCUAAGGGCUAGAGGAAAAGUAAACGGAGCAGGUAUGAAUUCAUACCAGCAGGUGAAUGAAUGACUGAAAUCCUCUUAAUAUAUUCUCAUGUUAAAAUGGGUUGGUUGUGACAUUUGAGAGUCAUCAUGGGCCGUAAGUUAAAGAGGAUGAAAACAAGGGGGUUAAGGAUUCAGAAACUGCACACCCAUGAGCGGGAUGCUCAGGCUAAUUACUAUACCCUGUUUCCAGAACACUGGCAGUCAGGAAACAAUUCUUUUUUGGGGGGAAAAAAGGAAGGGGGAUGGUCACAGGUUCAGACACUAGGGAAUCUCUCCUCAGUGAAUCAGCUGGUUCUCUGCCAGAUCACCCUUGAGAACUCCCAGUGGAUAAGCUGCUUUCAUGUACCCAAAACCAUCAACCAGCUUUGUUGAUGCUUCAUGAUGAAAUCUUAACAGACAGCCGAGGGUCGUCAAAUGUUUGUGGAAAGUUAUAACAUGAAAGAGAAAGACCCAAACAGAGGAAACAACGAACGAAACUUCAAAAAUAGCAUAGUUCAUACCCAUAGAGAAACAGGAGAAGACAUCUUAUCCAUUAAAUGAGAAACGGUGUAAAAUAAACAAUCUGAGUAAGAAAGAACGUUUGGCUAUUAAAAAAUAGAAUGUUUGAAAAAAAAAGAUACUCAAAAGAAAAGACAGAAGAUAAUUGGUGAAAACUUCAGAAAAUAGAAGAAAAAGAUGGAUGGAAAAAAUGACAGAAAAGAUGAGAAAAUGAGAGGAUCCAUCUUGAAAGUCCCACAUCCAGCAAAUAUGGAGAGAAGGAAAUUUCUCAGAAUGGAAAGAUAAUAGACUCAAGAUUGAAGAGCCUCCUGAAUGAGCAGCAAAAUGAAUGGGGAAGAAAAAAAAACAAAAAGUUCAGACCAGCUCACAUCUUUAAAAAACUUAUAAACAUAUAUACUUAAAAAACUUAGAGUUCUCCAGGACUCUAAGGAUGAACGGAAGAUUCCAAGAUCUUCCUAAAAAAAGCAGGUAACAUACAAAGGAUACAAAGGUUAUAUUAUCGUUAAGUCGGAAAAAAUGGAAGAAACCCUUCCUAACGCUGAGGCAAGAAGAUUUUUCCACCUAAAAUUCCACACCCAUCCAGGGAAACUCUCAGUCAAGAAAGCGUGCUCAUAGCAAAAGGCUCAGCUCUCCAGUGAACAACGAAUAAUUAUCCCGGUGGGGGUGUUGAUCAGAGUCAAUCAAAAGUUGUGAUACAACUACAUGGGGGGGGGGGGGGAAGGAGUGAGCCGUGUGAGGGUGUGUGAGAGAGGUCACUCCCCAUCUACCAUGGCAACAAAUCAAUAGACGCUGCCUUAAACCAAUGGAUCAAGAAAGCUCAUUAUAUGCACCCUGUUCAGAAAUAUGACAAAAAUGCCAGGGAAAACAGCUGAGAGCCUCUUGGAAGUUGGCCUAUUGGGUGGUGCCGUUACUUUUCAUUACAACUCUUUUGGUAUGAUCUGGCUUUUUAAAAUGUACUUGGAAUAUUUUCAUAUAUUUAGUAAUGUAUUUUAUUUAUUUAUUUAUUUAUUUACUUACUUACUUACUUAUUUACUUACUUAUUUACUUACUUACCAACUGAGCCAUUCAGGCAUCCCUAGCAAUUUUUAAAUAAAAUCAGAGAACUAGGAAAAUAAAUGAUAGAUUAGUUGUUAAACUAAAUGGAUCUCUAGUGGAAUUUCAGGGUGAGUAAAAUUCAGAGACUGUGGGGAAAUGGACGAGUGGGAAGGGGGAAGAGGUACAAUUAAAACAUGAGUUCACACUGAUAAGAAACUCAUUUAUGUAUGAAAUAAUUAUGAAAAUGUGCUUGGUUUUAGAAAAUAUAUGCUGAAGUAGUUAGGAGUAAAGAGACAUCAUGUCUGCAACUUACUCUCAAAUGGUUCAGAGGGAAGAAAUGUAAAUUAUAUACCUUUUUAUUCUAAAACUAAAGCUUAAUAAAUACAAGGUACUAACAUUUUUAAACAAUAGCUAGUAAAUACUUAGGGACUGUACAGAAAUACGGUAUCCUUCUAAAAUUUGGGGGCAACCACAAUGGGUUUUUUUUGUCCAGGAAGUGAAUUUAAAUGGUUUAAAUGAAAAACGAAAAAUUCUUGUUAAUGAAUACAGGAGUUGAAUAAAAACGUAAUGAAUAA